rnacentral:rRNA from 1 species
UACGUAGGGAGCAAGCGUUGUCCGGAUUUAUUGGGCGUAAAGAGCUCGUAGGUGGCUCGGUAAGUCGGGUGUGAAAUUUCGAGGCUCAACCUCGAAACGCCACCUGAUACUGCUGUGGCUUGAGUCCGGUAGGGGAGCGUGGAAUUCCUGGUGUAGCGGUGAAAUGCGCAGAUAUCAGGAGGAACACCAGCGGCGAAGGCGGCGCUCUGGGCCGGUACUGACACUGAGGAGCGAAAGCGUGGGGAUCAAACAGG